rnacentral:misc_RNA from 1 species
GAUGAAGAACGUAGCGAACGUGCGAAACGUAAUGUGAAUUGCAGAAUUCAGCGAAUCAUCGAAUCUUUGAACGCAUCUUGCGCUCCUUGGUAUUCCGAGGAGCAUGCCUGUUUGAGUGUCGUGAAUACUCUCAACUUCAACCCUUUUUUCGGAAAGGGAGGAAGGUUGGACUUGGGUGUUUGUUGAAGUGCGAGCUUCGACUCAUCCUAAAUGCAUUAGCGAUCUGCCUCGAUCACACACAAUGUGAUAAUUAAAACUAAAGCAUUGUUUAAUGAUCAAGUCGAGACUGCUUCUAACUGUCGCAAGACAAUAACGUGCAUACAUUUGUGCAUGUCAUUUGACCUCAAAUCAGGUAGGACUACCCGCUGAACUUAAGCAUAUCAAUAAGCGGAGGA